GUGCUCACUUCGGCAGCACAUAUACUAAAAUUGGAACGAUACAGAGAAGAUUAACAUGGCCCCUGCGCAAGGAUGACACACAUAUUUAAAAAAGAAUAAAAGACCUUU